CACAGACACAGAAGUUUAGAGUUGAGG
rnacentral:piRNA from 1 species